GUGCAAGCGUUAUCCGGAUUCACUGGGUUUAAAGGGUGCGUAGGUGGAUUAGUAAGUCAGUGGUGGAAUCCCCGAGCUUAACUUGGGAACUGCCAUUGAUACUAUUAGUCUUGAAUACCGUGGAGGUUGGCGGAAUAUGUCAUGUAGCGGUGAAAUGCUUAGAUAUGACAUAGAACACCAAUUGCGAAGGCAGCUGGCUACACGAGUAUUGACACUGAGGCACGAAAGCGUGGGGAUCAAACAGGAUUAGAUACCCUGGUAGUCC
rnacentral:rRNA from 1 species